AUCGCUUCUCGGCCUUUUGGCUAAGAUCAAGCGUAGUGUCUGUUCUUAUCAGUUUAAAAAUUAACUGGGGAAAGACAAGUGACUCCAUUAAGGAUACUGGGGGACUAACUACGUGAAAAAAAAAAUUCCUUCACACCUUACUUCUAAUUUGGUUAGCUUAGUACAAAAAAUGAAAUUAUUUUUUUAAAAAAUCAAA